GUGUUGUAUGAAAGGAGAGAAGGUUAGCACUCCCCUUGAUAAGGAUGGAAGAGGCCCUUGUGGCCUGUAGAACAUGCAUAUGGUUAAGGCACUGCCACCUACUUCAUGGCAUCUAACCAUGUUUGGAU